AACGAACGCUGGCGGCAUGCCUAACACAUGCAAGUCGAACGAGACCUUCGGGUCUAGUGGCGCACGGGUGCGUAACGCGUGGGAAUCUGCCCUUGGGUUCGGAAUAAGAGUUGGAAACGACUGCUAAUACCGGAUGAUGACGUAAGUCCAAAGAUUUAUCGCCCAGGGAUGAGCCCGCGUAGGAUUAGCUAGUUGGUGGGGUAAAGGCCUACCAAGGCGACGAUCCUUAGCUGGUCUGAGAGGAUGAUCAGCCACACUGGGACUGAGACACGGCCCAGACUCCUACGGGAGGCAGCAGUGGGGAAUAUUGGACAAUGGGCGAAAGCCUGAUCCAGCAAUGCCGCGUGAGUGAUGAAGGCCUUAGGGUUGUAAAACUCUUUUACCCGGGAUGAUAAUGACAGUACCGGGAGAAUAAGCCCCGGCUAACUCCGUG
rnacentral:rRNA from 1 species